rnacentral:rRNA from 1 species
GUCGAGCGAACAGACGAGGAGCUUGCUCCUCUGACGUUAGCGGCGGACGGGUGAGUAACACGUGGAUAACCUACCUAUAAGACUGGGAUAACUUCGGGAAACCGGAGCUAAUACCGGAUAAUAUAUUGAACCGCAUGGUUCAAUAGUGAAAGACGGUUUUGCUGUCACUUAUAGAUGGAUCCGCGCCGCAUUAGCUAGUUGGUAAGGUAACGGCUUACCAAGGCAACGAUGCGUAGCCGACCUGAGAGGGUGAUCGGCCACACUGGAACUGAGACACGGUCCAGACUCCUACGGGAGGCAGCAGUAGGGAAUCUUCCGCAAUGGGCGAAAGCCUGACGGAGCAACGCCGCGUGAGUGAUGAAGGUCUUCGGAUCGUAAAACUCUGUUAUUAGGGAAGAACAAAUGUGUAAGUAACUAUGCACGUCUUGACGGUACCUAAUCAGAAAGCCACGGCUAACUACGUGCCAGCAGCCGCGGUAAUACGUAGGUGGCAAGCGUUAUCCGGAAUUAUUGGGCGUAAAGCGCGCGUAGGCGGCUUUUUAAGUCUGAUGUGAAAGCCCACGGCUCAACCGUGGAGGGUCAUUGGAAACUGGAAAACUUGAGUGCAGAAGAGGAAAGUGGAAUUCCAUGUGUAGCGGUGAAAUGCGCAGAGAUGUGGAGGAACACCAGUGGCGAA